rnacentral:rRNA from 1 species
CCUUACCUCAUCUAGAUUAUUCAGCUUGUGUACUGCCGUCGUAAGCAGACCUCUAAAAGUAGAAGUAUGCAAUUAUGUCCAACUCAUCUACGUCAGGUCAAAGUGCAGCUAAUGAUGAGGUGACGAUGGGUUACACCCUAAACAAAGACACGGAAUAUUGUGCUAAUAACUAUAUAAAGGUGGACUUGGACGUAAUACUGAUUCAAUAUUAUCGUGAAAACGAAUCUAAGACAUGCACACAUCGCCCGUCACUCUUGCCCAAAGGCAAGAUAAGUCGUAACAAAGUAGGUGUAACGGAAGUUGCACCUGU